rnacentral:piRNA from 1 species
UGUCAUUGUAAAAUCAGUGGAUGUGGAGGC